rnacentral:rRNA from 1 species
CUUAACUUCGGGAUUGCCAUUGAAACUGUCACUCUUGAGUACAGUCGGAGACGGCGGAAUGAGUUAUGUAGCGGUGAAAUGCAUAGAUAGAACUCAGAACACCGAUCGCGAAGGCAGCUGUCUAGGCUGAGACUGACGCUGAGGCACGAAAGCGUGGGGAGCAAACAGGAUUAGAUACCCUGGUAGUCCACGCUGUAAACUAUGAUCACUCGCUGUUGGCGAUAUACAGUCAGCGGCUGAGCGAAAGCAUUAAGUGAUCCACCUGGGGAGUACGUCGGCAACGAUGAAACUCAAAGGAAUUGACGGGGGCCCGCACAAGCGGAGGAACAUGUGGUUUAAUUCGAUGAUACGCGAGGAACCUUACCUGGGCUUAAAUGUAGGGUGCAUGGAGGGGAAACCUUCCUUACCUUCGGGACUC